rnacentral:misc_RNA from 1 species
CCGAGUUUACAAACUCCCAAACCCCUGUGAACUUAUACCUUUACGUUGCUUCGGCGGGACUCGCCCCGGCUGCCCUCGCGGCGGACCGGACCCAGGCGCCCGCCGGAGGACCCAAACUCUUCUGUCUUUUAUAGCGGCAUGUCUGAGUGGAUUUUUAUACAAAUGAAUCA